rnacentral:rRNA from 1 species
ACGCUCGACACCUACGGGAGGCAGCAGUGAGGGAUAUUGGUCAAUGGGGGAAACCCUGAACCAGCAACGCCGCGUGAGGGAUGACGGUCUUCGGAUUGUAAACCUCUGUCCUCUGUGAAGAUAAUGACGGUAGCAGAGGAGGAAGCUCCGGCUAACUACGUGGCAGCAGCCGCGGUAAUCUGAGCGGGCUGGCAAGGC